GUGCUCAACUCAGCGGCACAUGUACUAAAAUUGGUAUGAUACAGAGAAGAUUAGCAUGUUCUCUGUGCAAGGAUGACAAGCAAAUGCAUGAAGCAUUCCAUAAAUUU
rnacentral:snRNA from 1 species